rnacentral:rRNA from 1 species
GACGAACGCUGGCGGCGUGCUUAACACAUGCAAGUCGAGCGGUAAGGCCCUUUCGGGGGUACGACGAGCGGCGAACGGGUGAGUAACACGUGGGUGACCUGCCCUCAGCUCUGGGAUAAGCCUGGGAAACCGGGUCUAAUACCGGAUAUGACUCCAUGACGCAUGUUGUGGGGUGGAAAGCCUUGUGCGGCUGAGGAUGGGCCCGCGGCCUAUCAGCUUGUUGGUGGGGUGAUGGCCUACCAAGGCGACGACGGGUAGCCGGCCUGAGAGGGCGACCGGCCACACUGGGACUGAGACACGGCCCAGACUCCUACGGGAGGCAGCAGUGGGGAAUCUUGCGCAAUGGGGCGAAAGCCUGACGCAGCGACGCCGCGUGAGGGAUG